rnacentral:rRNA from 1 species
AUGACCUUGAGUAUCAUCGAAAAUCUCAUGCAAAUCACCAAUUCAACCAGAGUACAAGCCGAAUCACAGAGGAGCCAUCAGUGGAAAUAUGGCUGUCGAGCAGUGUCUUGGUUAGGAGAUAUUCUCCUACAGGUUGCAAUUCGCCAAAAUGCUGGAGUUGCUUGUUUUUGGGGAACAUCUAACCAUGGAGAGAUGAGGUUUUGCUACUUUUGGGAGUCUGACAGUGAGAAUUCUUCUUGCAUCGGACCUUCUUCUUGCACCGGACCAUUAGUUGAUGAAGCUGUGAGAUGGUGUCUUGUCAAACUGAAAGCUUGGAUUCACCAACAUAUCCUGGGUGUUUCGAUAGUAUGGCCACAUUUCACAAUGAUUCAGUAUGCAGACUUACGUUCAGAAGAUAUGAAUUCUUGGAAUUAUCCAAUGCCAUGUGUGAGUUCCAUGCUACUGAAGAAUGGACCGAAUAUGCAGAGUCGUUUUGAGGUUAUCCAAUGGAAAAUUGCAUGGUAUUUUCACUUGGAGUAUCUUGAUGGUGGCAACCAGUUUUUCCAGUCAUUCCUUGCAAACUCAGUGCUACCACCUGUGAUGAUAAUUUUUUGUCUGAACUUUGGUCAAACUAAGAGACUCCCAUGUGUUGACAAUAAAAAAUGUUCUGCAAAGAUCUUCUUGUAUAUGACAUGGGAUCCAGGAGGGUGA